UACGAAGGGGGCUAGCGUUGUCGCGAAUCACUGGGCGUAAAGGGUGCGUAGGCGGGUCUUUUAAGUCAGGGGUGAAAUCCUGGAGCUCAACUCCAGAACUGCCUUUGAUACUGAAGAUCUUGAGUUCGGGAGAGGUGAGUGGAACUGCGAGUGUAGAGGUGAAAUUCGUAGAUAUUCGCAAGAACACCAGUGGCGAAGGCGGCUCACUGGCCCGAUACUGACGCUGAGGCACGAAAGCGUGGGGGAGCAAACAGG
rnacentral:rRNA from 1 species